rnacentral:rRNA from 1 species
AUACGGAGGAUGCGAGCGUUAUCCGGAUUUAUUGGGUUUAAAGGGAGCGUAGGUGGGAUAUUAAGUCAGCUGUGAAAGUUUGGGGCUCAACCUUAAAAUUGCAGUUGAUACUGGUUUCCUUGAGUACGGUGCAGGUGGGCGGAAUUCGUGGUGUAGCGGUGAAAUGCUUAGAUAUCACGAAGAACUCCGAUCGCGAAGGCAGCUCACCGGGCCGGAACUGACACUGAUGCUCGAAAGUGCGGGUAUCAAACAGGAUUAGAUACCCUGGUAGUCCGCACAGUAAACGAUGAAUACUCGCUGUUUGCGAUACACUGUAAGCGGCCAAGCGAAAGCGUUAAGUAUUCCACCUGGGGAGUACGCCGGCAACGGUGAAACUCAAAGGAAUUGACGGGG